CCUACGGGUGGCUGCAGUAGGGGAUAUUGCACAAUGGGGGGAACCCUGAUGGAGCGACGCCGCGUGGGUGAAGAAGCGCCUCGGCGCGUAAAGCCCUGUCAGCAGGGAAGAACAUGACGGUAACUGAAGAAGAAGCACCGGCUAACUACGUGCCAGCAGCCGCGGGGAGACGUAGGGGGCAAGCGUUGUCCGGAUUUACUGGGUGUAAAGGGGGCUCGGACGGCUAUGCAAGCCAGGAGUGAAAGCCCGGGGGCCAACCCCGGGAAUGCUCUUGGAACUGCGUGGCUGGAGUGCAGGAGGGGCAGGCGGAAUUCCUGGUGUAGCGGUGAAAUGCGUAGAUAUCAGGAGGAACACCGGUGGCGAAGGCGGCCUGCUGGACUGCAACUGACGUUGAGGCCCGAAAGCGUGGGGAGCAAACAGGAUUAGAUACCCCAGUAGUC
rnacentral:rRNA from 1 species